UGUAAACUAUCAAUUUUAUAAUGAUUUAUAAAAAUCUAUGAUAUUGUGGAUAAUAUUUAUUAUUUUAAUGUGAAAGUGUGUGCUAAUUAGAUGAUGGCGUAUGAUUAUGAUCUAUUCUAAUAUGAGAGGAGCUCAUUGAAACAGCAGGAAACAGUCCUGAUAUAGGCUAGCUCUGGGUGAACGAGCGAGCGAGCGUGCGUGCGUGUGUGUCACUCAUAUGUGUGUACAGUGAGGUGAGUAAUGAGCGCGAGAGCGGCUGUUUGUCUGAGCGCCUUCUGCUACCUCUACACUACGGGCUGGAAUAUGCAGACAGCGUCUCCAACAGCGGAGUCAUGAUCUGCCGUCUUCCCCGGGACUCGUCUUCCGCUCGGAGCCGAAGCCGAACAACAUUUUGAAGCAUCUGAUAUUUAACCAGUGGCUUUCCUUCGGGGCAUCGCGUUGGUCGCUUAACACAGCCGAGGAGGAUCUUGCGCAGUGGCGGCGGACACUUCGGGUGAUGUCGGCUGGCCGUCACUCUUGACAUCGGCCUCCGCUCGCAGACGCACAGCGGAAUGGGAUCAGUGCGCAUGCAGUGAGGAGACAUCGGAAUGCACUUGCUUGUUGGACCUUCAUCCCAGUGAGCUGUCUGUUUGCAGUCUCACUGACAGACAGACACAACAUAUUGCUGCAACCCAACCCCCUCAGUUUCCUCUCCAUCACCAGCCAAUCAAAUGCACUCUGAAAAUAAACUAUCCAAUCAUGGCAAGCAAGUGACAA